AAAAAACAAACCUGGAAGUAUUAUUACACUGUAAUUCAUCAGCUCUGAGUAGAAGUUAGUUCCUUCUUCAGGAGUCCUUUAUUCAGCCCUGAUAUUUUCAUACCAACAUGAAAAUGAGUGUUUGAACUUAUGGGAAAGAUGUAAGAACAGAACUUAAAAGUUCUUCUCCAAACUCCAUCUCCACUGCUGAUCUGGGGGUGCUCUGUCACCAGCUGCCACCACUGCACACAGGUUCUGGGAAGUCCUUGAUCAACUUUGCAGGAGAAGGGGAGAGUGCUCAUGGUAAAAUAAACAUUGGGUAUCGUUGGCAUACAUUGGCUGUAUGAAUCAACAAGGAAGCUGACCACUACAUGAAACUAACUUCACAGCUAGAAAAGAGGCUUUGUCCAGAAUUCAACAGUAAAGAAAUGAGGAUACAAGUUGUGUAUUUGAAUCUGAUAUGUGUGGAUGACACAAAUUUCCCUGCAAAAGUGCUUGGUCCAGGGCAAUAGUUCUGAAAACCACGGGUACCAGUAUCAUAGCUCACCUGGAAACUUGUCAGAAAUACAAAUUCUCAGUUCCCAUCCAAGACCUACUGACUCAGAAAUGCUGGAAGUGGAGCUCAGAAAUCUGUUUUGUAAAAAGCCUUCAGGUGACUUACACGCUAAAGUUUGAGAACUAGGGGUGUUUAAGGGGAACUAGUAUUGUAUUUCCUUUUCUUUUCUUUUCUUAUAUUUUCUUGUCUUUCCUUUUUUUUUUAUAACAAGUGCCCUAAUAAUCAUCACCCAUCUAGCCCAUCCCCCACCUACCUCCAUCAACAGUUUGUUCUCAUUAAGAGUCUCUUGUGGUUUGAAGGGAAACUUAGUAUUUUUUUCACUGCCUGGUGUGCUGAAUGCCAUAAAUCCAUUACUGCAGGUACCAGAACAAUCUUCAAAAUAAAUAUUGCUACCCCAAUUUUAGAAGUAAAAAGGGGCGCCUGGGUGGCUGAGUCAGUUGAGUAUCUGACUUCCGCUCAGGUCAUGAUCUCGCGGUUGGUGAGUUCGAGCCCCGCAUCGGGCUCUGUGCUGACAGCUCAGAGCCUGGAGCCUGCUUCUGAUUCUGUGUCUCCCUCUCUCUCUGCCCCUCCCCCACUCAUUCCCUCUCUCUCUCUCUCUCUCU